rnacentral:rRNA from 1 species
AACGACUCUCGGCAACGGAUAUCUCGGCUCUCGCAUCGAUGAAGAACGUAGUAAUAUGCGAUACUUGGUGUGAAUUGCAGAAUCCCGUGAAUCAUCGAGUUUUUGAACGCAAGUUGCGCCUUAAGCCUUCUGGCCGAGGGCACGUCUGCCUGGGCGUCACGC